GUCACUACUUGCAGAGAACAGGAAUCUAUAAACUCAUACCAUAAGAGAAAGGAAAAUUUGUUUUUCUCCUCCCUAUGUUGAGGGAGUGCUAGGAUAGACUUCAGGCCACAUUAGAUAGCAUUAUCAAGACUUUCCCUGGGUCUGGGCUGUGCCUGUUGCUGCUUCUGGGACAAGUCAGCCUAAUACAGGAAAACUUAUUUCUUUUUUUUAAAUUUUCUUUUUCUUUCUUUCUUUAAUUUCCCACCUCAGCGCAUGUCUGGUGAUAGGCACAGGAAGACGCCUAACUUCCUUUCCCUAAUUAGGACGCCACAGUUAGCGGGAACCCGCUUUACAAGUGAAAUAUCCCUGCGUUAUUGAAGCGAACUGGAGUCCCCCACCCAGCACAGCAAAGCCAAACACUGACAUGGGGCUAGCAGCGAGAGAAAAUGAGGAAAUUUUUGAAGGGCACCAAGCAAGGACAUUCAGGCAGCUCAUGCUUCAGGCCUGCACUCCCUGAUGGCUUACAGGGUCUUGCUCUGUCACCUAAACUGGAGUGCAGUGGUG